GACGAACGCUGGCGGCGUGCUUAACACAUGCAAGUCGAACGCGUGGCGAACGGGUGAGUAAUACGUGAGUAACCUGCCCUCUUUUUGGGAUAAGCCUCGGAAACGGGGUCUAAUACCGACUAGAGGGGGAUGGGCUCGCGGGCUCUCAGCUUGUUGGUGGGGUGAUGGCCUACCAAGGGGGUGACGGGUCGCCGGCCUGAGAGGGUGACAGGCAACAGGAGGACUGAUAUACGGCCCAGACUCACACGGGAGGGAGCAGUGGGGGAUAUUGCACAAGGGGCGAAAGCCUGAUGCAGCGACGCCGCGUGGGGGAUGAAGGCUUUCGGGUUGUAACCCUCUGUCGGUAGCGAAAGGGUAGGUGGAGAAGAAGCGCCGGCUAACUACGUGCCAGCAGCCGCGGUAAUAC
rnacentral:rRNA from 1 species